rnacentral:rRNA from 1 species
UCGACGGCAGCACAGGAGAGCUUGCUCUCUGGGUGGCGAGUGGCGGACGGGUGAGGAAUACAUCGGAAUCUACUCUGUCGUGGGGGAUAACGUAGGGAAACUUACGCUAAUACCGCAUACGACCUACGGGUGAAAGUGGGGGACCGCAAGGCCUCACGCGAUUGAAUGAGCCGAUGUCGGAUUAGCUAGUUGGCGGGGUAAAGGCCCACCAAGGCGACGAUCCGUAGCUGGUCUGAGACGAUGAUCAGCCACACUGGAACUGAGACACGGUCCAGACCCCUACGGGAGGCAGCAGUGGGGAAUAUUGGACAAUGGGCGCAAGCCUGAUCCAGCCAUACCGCGUGAGUGAAGAAGGCCCUCGGGUUGUAAAGCUCUUUUGUUGGGAAAGAAAUCCUGUUGGCUAAUACCCGGCGGGGAUGACGGUACCCAAAGAAUAAGCACCGGCUAACUUCGUGCCAGCAGCCGCGGUAAUACGAAGGGUGCAAGCGUUACUCGGAAUUACUGGGCGUAAAGCGUGCGUAGGUGGUUGCUUAAGUCUGUCGUGAAAGCCCUGGGCUCAACCUGGGAAUUGCGAUGGAUACUGGGCGACUAGAGUGUGGUAGAGGGUGGCGGAAUUCCCGGUGUAGCAGUGAAAUGCGUAGAGAUCGGGAGGAACAUCCGUGGCGAAGGCGGCCACCUGGGCCAACACUGACACUGAGGCACGAAAGCGUGGGGAGCAAACAGGAUUAGAUACCCUGGUAGUCCACGCCCUAAACGAUGCGAACUGGAUGUUGGGUUCAACUUGGAACCCAGUAUCGAAGCUAACGCGUUAAGUUCGCCGCCUGGGGAGUACGGUCGCAAGACUGAAACUCAAAGGAAUUGACGGGGGCC